rnacentral:rRNA from 1 species
UACGUAUGGUGCAAGCGUCAUCCGGAUUUACUGGGUGUAAAGGGAGCGCAGGCGGCACGGCAAGCCUGAUGUGAAAGCCCGCGGCCCAACCGCGGGACUGCAUUGGGAACUACCGGGCUGGAGUGCCGGAGAGGUAGGCGGAAUUCCUAGUGUAGCGGUGAAAUGCGUGGAUAUUAGGAGGAACACCAGUGGCGAAGGCGGCCUACUGGACGGUGACUGACGCUGAGGCUCGAAAGCGUGGGGAGCAAACAGG